CAAGGGUGCGGGAUAACCCCGGGAAACUGGGGAUAAUACCGGAUGGAUCACUUAUGCUGGAAUGCUUGGUGGUCGAAAGGUGACGCCCUUGGAUGGGUCUGCGGCGGAUUAGGUUGACGCCGGUGUAACGUACCGGCGUGCCUGUAAUCCGUACGGGUUGUGGGAGCAAGAGCCCGGAGAUGGAUUCUGAGACACGAAUCCAGGCCCUACGGGGCGCAGCAGGCGCGAAAACUCUACAAUGCAAGGCAACUGCGAUAGGGGGACAUCGAGUGGCAUCCACCUUGGGUGCCUGUCCCACCGUCUAAAAAACGGUGGUUAGCAAGGGCCGGGCAAGACCGGUGCCAGCCGCCGCGGUAAUACCGGCGGCUCGAGUGGUGGCCGAUAUUAUUGAUUCUAAAGGGUCCGUAGCCGGCUUUGCAAGUCCCCUGGGAAAUCCAGCGGCUUAACCGUUGGGCUUUCAUGGGAUACUACAUUGCUUGGGACUGGGAGAGGUAGGAGGUACUCGGGGGGUAGGGGUGAAAUCCUGUAAUCCCCCGGGGACCACCGGUGGCGAAGGCGUCCUACCAGAACAGGUCCGACGGUGAGGGACGAAAGCUAGGGGCACGAACCGGAUUAGAUACCCGGGUAGUCCUAGCCGUAAACGAUGCCCGCUAGGUGUCACGGCGGUCGUGAAUCGCCGUGGUGUCGUAGGGAAGCCGCGAAGCGGGCCACUUGGGAAGU
rnacentral:rRNA from 1 species